rnacentral:lncRNA from 1 species
GUCUCGGGCAGCGGGGGGGCAGAAGCGCUGAGGCAGCACGUGGGGCAGGCGAGCGAGGCCCCGACCCUGCGAGGGGGACUUUGCCCUUGCACGUGCGCGUGCACCCACGUGGCGGGGACACACGUGCGUGCCGCGGCAGGCCUCGGUCCCGCAUCCCGGCAGGGCCGCGAGCGUGGGGCCGGGAGCGAGUCCCGCCGGGCCUAAUCCUGCGCCGCGGGGCGCAGCCCGGGCCCCCGCACAGAUGCCGCAUGGCCCUUUCGGCCGCGCGGCGCUCCUGGAGCGGCACCUGCCUGGACACGCUUGGGUGGCUCCCAGCAAAGCUGGGCACGGCGGUCGCGCUGGGGCCCUGAGGAGGAGGAGGAGGAGGAAGUAGCAAUAGGAGCCGGGGGGGGGGGCAUGGCAGCGUUGUGGCUACACACCCAAAUUCCCAGGCAAGGAGAUACCCAGCCGGCAGGUGGGGCCGGGCUCUGGCACGGCUGCAGCUGCCUGCGCCGGGGGGUAGGAUGGCCCUGCGGUCACAGCGUCACGGCCCAGCCUGCCACGGCCCCCAGGUCACAGCACCCGGCCACCCUAUAUCCCAGUCUCCUGGUCUCCCUAUAUCCCAGGCCCCUGGUCUCCCUAUAUCCCAGGCCCCUGAUUCACACUAUAUCCCAGUCCCCUGGUCUCUCUAUAUCCCAGCCCCCUGAUUCACACUAUAUCCCAGUCCCCUGGUCUCCCUAUAUCCCAGUCCUCUGGUUACCCUAUAUCCCA